ACGCGAAAGGUUCCUUCGGGAGCCGAGUAGAGUGGCGCACGGGUGAGUAACACGUAGGUAAUUUGCCUUUGGGUGGGGAAUAACUCAGGGAAACUUGAGCUAAUACCGCAUAAUGCAGCGGCUCGACAUCGAGACAGUUGUUAAAGCGGGGGAUUCGUAAGAACCUCGCGCCUAAAGAGAAGCCUGCGGCAGAUUAGCUAGUUGGUAAGGUAAUGGCUUACCAAGGCGACGAUCUGUAACCGGCCUGAGAGGGCGGUCGGUCACACUGACACUGACAUACGGGUCAGACUCCUACGGGAGGCAGCAGUCGGGAAUUUUGGGCAAUGGGCGAAAGCCUGACCCAGCAACGCCGCGUGAAGGAUGAAAUUUUUCGGAAUGUAAACUUCGCAAGAACGGGAAGAAUAAGUGGGGGACAAUACCCCCCAUGAUGACGGUACCGUUUGUAAGCUCCGGCUAACUCCGUGCCAGCAGCCGCGGUAAUACGGGGGGAGCAAGCGUUGUUCGGAUUUACUGGGCGUAAAGGGCGCGUAGGCGGUCGUGACAAGUCACUUGUGAAAUCUCCGGGCUUAACUCGGAACGGUCAAGUGAUACUGUCGGACUAGAGUACAGAAGGGGCAACUGGAAUUCUCGGUGUAGCGGUGAAAUGCGUAGAUAUCGAGAGGAACACCUGCGGCGAAGGCGGGUUGCUGGGCUGAUACUGACGCUGAGGCGCGAAGCCAGGGGAGCGAACGGGAUUAGAUACCCCGGUAGUCCUGGCCUAAACGAUGAAUGCUUGGUGUCUCGGG
rnacentral:rRNA from 1 species